rnacentral:rRNA from 1 species
UACGGGGGGAGCAAGCGUUGUUCGGAUUUACUGGGCGUAAAGGGUGCGUAGGCGGCCACCGCAAGUCGAUUGUGAAAUCUCCGGGCUUAACCCGGAAAGGUCAACCGAUACUGCGGGGCUAGAGUGCGGAAGGGGCAACUGGAAUUCUUGGUGUAGCGGUGAAAUGCGUAGAUAUCAAGAGGAACACCUGCGGCGAAGGCGGGUUGCUGGGCCGACACUGACGCUGAUGCGCGAAAGCUAGGGGAGCGAACGGG